rnacentral:rRNA from 1 species
CAAUAGCGUAUAUUAAAGUUGUUGCGGUUAAAAAGCUCGUAGUUGGAUUUCUGCCGAGGACGACCGGUCCGCCCUCUGGGUGUGUAUCUGGUUUGGCCUGGGCAUCUUCUUGGAGAACGUAGCUGCACUUGACUGUGUGGUGCGGUGUCCAGGACUUUUACUUUGAGGAAAUUAGAAUGUUUCAAGCAGGCAUACGCCUUGAAUACAUCAGCAUGGAAUAAUAAGAUAGGACCUCGGUUCUAUUUUGUUGGUUUCUAGAGCUGAGGUAAUGAUUAAUAGGGAUAGUUGGGGGCAUUCGUAUUUAACUGUCAGAAGUGAAAUUCUUGGAUUUGUUAAAGACGGACUACUGCGAAAGCAUUUGCCAAGGAUGUUUUCAUUGA